UUUCCCAAAUUGAUUUACCCAAACUAUUUCAAUUUCCCGCUUCCCCAGAUCGACCCUUCACUAAAAAAAAUUCAUUCUCCCGCUAUCCCUGUCCCCAAACCCUAGUCGUUUUCACCUUAUUGCUCAAAUUUAAACUCAAAAUCAAGAUUGAGGAGAUAAUCAAUUAAAUUGUCUCACAUUCUUUUUCUAAAUCUGUUGUUUUUCGAUUCAAUAUCUAAUCUAAUCAAUCUUGUGCUUCCUUCGAUUACAGAUUUUGUUGUGGCGAGAGGAUGAACAAUCAUAGUAGAAGCAACAGGAACACAGGCACUGGUCCACCCACUCAAUCGGUCCUUAAUAGUAUGUUGAAGCCUUGAGAUUCUUCUUUCAUGACUAUGUUGGUUCAUAACUUAUGCCUUAAAAGUGGACCCAACCUAGGUUCUAAAGCAUCAAAGAUUCGUAUUCUAUGUGAUUUUAAACAGCCUGACCCCGCCUGGUAAGCACAGCAUUUGGGUGAGGGGUCGGGUUGGGUGAGGCCAAAGCACUACUUUGUUGUUGUUGUUGUUGUUGUUGUUUUUACAAAAUUAACAUAAUAAUUAGGAUGGUUCGAUAUGUGGGGGGGGGGUCAAUGAGGGUGCUGGCGCUGAUGAAAGAUCUAUCUUAGUGAGGACAAUGGUAGAAAGCAAAGCAAGCAAAAAUGUGCUUCGCGAAUUUUACCUACUUGGUAAGAUGCUAAUUUACGUGCCACUGAAUUCGCUGACGACAACGUAGUUGCGACACCUGGCAUUCAAAUGGUUGAAGUGACUGCACCUGCAUCAACUAAAAUUACACUGAAGUUGUUGCAGCAAUUUCUUUAUUUUGUGAACAUCUUGCAGCGUUAAUACGAACAACGAAGGUUAUCAAAGGAACAAAUGAAGAACUACAAAAACCUUCAGAAGAUGGAAAUGCUUUGGUCUAUCCUUUUGCGGUUGUAAUGAACAAGGAGUUUGAUCGUCACGUUCGACUUUAUAGCAAAGGUUUUGCUAAAAGAUGAUGAAAAUAUGGAUGGUGGUGAGGAAGCAUACACGAUUCUAGGUGGGAUUUUAUCAUGGCGGAGAGGAACCAUACAUGAUGGUUACAUUCGACUUAUAUCAUUGAAACACCAAAGCGCCAACCAGCAAAAUUUGAAGCUAUGAUGUAGAGUAUUAUUGAAAAGCUAUUUGUUGACUAGUUUAGGAUCUUAGAUGCCAAUGAGGUUUUCGUUACCUUUUAUCAUUGUAAUUGACAAUAUUAUUUUGAUUACAUUGUUAUUUUAAGUUUGGACAUGUGUUCAUGUUAUUAUUGUGUUGGU
rnacentral:lncRNA from 1 species